rnacentral:lncRNA from 1 species
UUUCAAUUUGCCUUGCAGAGCAACCAAGUACAUGAGUUUGACAAUGGCUAGUCAUGUCAUCUUUCAAAUUCAAAAUAAAUCACUAUCAUUGUGGACAAAUUUAAUAACGCCAGUGAUGAUUUAUCCGCUAGGCUGGCCAUUUUGAUCCUCAGCUCACAAGCGGUUUGUUGUUCUAGCCAACGAAUUGUGAAAGGUCUUUGUCAUCGUUGGAUGCAAUAAGUGGAUGAUCAGUCCAAGCCCCUCCUUCAGUUCAGCCUGAGUUAAUAGCAAUUCCUGGAAGAUGCCUUGGUUGAAAACUUGGAUCCAAAGGUUUUUUCGAUCUAGACAAGUAACACCAAUACAGCUGCAGUAAUUGGUGUCAAGAAUGUUGCUCACACACCAAAGCGAGAGGUGAGAUCAAGGAAGGCUUCUUCACUGCAGGGGAUUGUAAUACCACCCAUUGGAUGAGAGGUGAGAUCAAGGAAGGCUUCUUCACUGCAGGGGAUUGUAAUACCACCCAUUGGAUGAUUGUAUCCAAACUCUUCUUCCGCUUGACUUAACAAAUCUUGGAAAGAGGACUGGUUCAAGUAUGAUAUUGGAAUCACAAACCGCUUCUUCUGACUCUCCCCAACAUAGACUGCAAAAUAGCCUUUAGGGACAUCUAAGGACUUCGACGGUACUUGGGUUUUCUUAGCAUGUAUGGUACCAGGCAACCGGAAACCCAUAGUUUCAAGAUUUCUAUAUGAGAACACAGAGAAGGAAGAUUUCAAAUGAAUUGAGAAACUGAAAAGGCUUUGAUAAGAUAUGUUUGGGAAUAGAAGACUUG